AUUGAACGCUGGCGGCAUGCCUUACACAUGCAAGUCGAACGGUAACAGGUCUUCGGAUGCUGACGAGUGGCGAACGGGUGAGUAAUACAUCGGAACGUGCCCGAUCGUGGGGGAUAACGGAGCGAAAGCUUUGCUAGUACCGCAUACGAUCUACGGAUGAAAGCAGGGGACCGCAAGGCCUUGCGCGGACGGAGCGGCCGAUGGCAGAUUAGGUAGUUGGUGGGAUAAAAGCUUACCAAGCCGACGAUCUGUAGCUGGUCUGAGGGGACGACCAGCCACACGGGGACGGAGACACGGCCCAGACUCCUACGGGAGGCAGCAGUGGGGAAUUUUGGACAAUGGGCGAAAGCCUGAUCCAGCCAUGCCGCGUGCAGGAUGAAGGCCUUCGGGUUGUAAACUGCUUUUGUACGGAACGAAAAGCCUCUUUCUAAUAAAGAGAGGUCAUGACGGUACCGUAAGAAUAAGCACCGGCUAACUACGUGCCAGCAGCCGCCGUAAAAC
rnacentral:rRNA from 1 species